rnacentral:tRNA from 1 species
GCUCCCUUAACUCAACUGGAUAGAGUAGCGGCCUUCGAAGCCGUCGGUUACAGGUUCAAAUCCUGUAGGGAGUACCA